UACUAUUAGAAUAUCAUGUAACUGCUUUGGCAGUUCGGCUUAAGAAAAUGAGGUUUUAGCAUUACUUUUUAACUUAUAUCUUUAUGAGCUUUUUUCUCUUUUUUGGGGAUAAUAGAGAUGUGACUGAAUUGUACUUUUUGUAAGGAGCAGGCCAGCCAAUAUUCAAAUUUGAAUUUUAAAAGGAAUCUCUUCCUGUCACUACAGCUGUGGAUCAAAGGCAGUGUGGAGUAGCAGUAAAAUGGUUGAUUAAAGAUUAUUUUACAUUGAAAUAUGUUUUUUCCAAAUGUUAUUGUAAAGGAACUGAGGAAAACCCCACAGUCUGUUGAGUGAAAGUAGGACAUUUGUUAAGCGUUCACAUGGGACUCUGUAAUAGGUGAAGUCAAGGUUCUUAGACAAAAAUUGUCAAUGUGGGAGGCCCUUAUAGUUAUAAAAAUGAUAUGGGGUCCUCAACAUCCUUCUCGAACAUUGAGAGGAUCUUGGUCAUACAUCGUAGGGUGCUCAGAGCAUUGUCUGCUAGUAGAGGGGUUGGAAUGGACAACUGUGCAGAGAGACUGCUAUUGCUGGAGAAUCAAUAGGCACAAUGGGAGAUAAGUACGUCUUCUAUACUAAGGAAUUCUAGAUACUAAUGAUUUUGCAAUAACAUGAAAAACAAAUCAGAAACAAACAGAAAAGAAAAUUCUCUCUCUCUCUGGGAAAACCACCGCAUUAGGCUUUUUCACCAUGAUUUUCCAUGAUUAUAUAUGAAAGAUUCUCUAGUAUUUAAUGGGAAAAAAGAAAACUUCUGGAGACCCAGGAAGAGUUUUGGUGGAAAAGACUAACAGAGGUUUUAAUCUCGAGCUCUGGGAGGUGUCUCGCCUCUUUAAGUAGAAGCAGAUUUGAUAUCAUUCCUUUAAUUAAAACCAUCUGAUGCACAAAAUCCCUUCUCAAUUGCCCUAGAUAACUUAUUUUCCAACUCCACCUUCAAAUGGUUUGUCUUCCAAUGAAGCGUGUUAUCGUUUAUUCAAAUGACUGAUAACCCAAGAGUCGUGAAUAAUGGAAAAAUGACAAAACUUGCUAUACAUAAUCAGUUGGCAAAGGAAGGAGAAAUAACAGCUGCUUAACUGUUAUAACAUAUAUUUUUAAACUGAGCUUGUAAGUCAGUGUAACUGCCAAGUCACAGAUUUUUUUCAGUAAUCUCAAGAUGGCUUAAAGCCAUACAGAUAGGAGUUUGUUGGUGGCUUUCUUCUACCCCGAGCUCUUGUCUUUGGAAAUAUUGGGCAGGGAGAAAGGGUGCUUUUAGAACCGAGCUGUUCAGGGUCCCAGAUCCUCUAAUGUAAUGCCAGCUGAACCCAGACAGUGACUUCCACCUCCAUGAAUGCAGGUGAUUGCAUCCUUUGAAAGCCUGUUUGCAUAGCAGACAAUGAAGCUGAGCAGAGAAAAACAAGAUGAGAGACAGAUGGAGUAGGAGACCUGAGAAGAUGGCUUGAGUCCAUGAAUUCUGGUGUUCCCUAGGCCACAUUUGCCCCCAUCCUUCCCAGAUUAAAAUUCUCACCCCCAAUAUGAUGGUAUUUGGAGCCCUUGGAGGUGAUUAGGGCAUGAAGGUGAAACCCUCUUGAAUGGAAUUAGAGAGCCCUCACUUCUUCCACCAUGUGAGAACACAGUGAGAUGACGGCCAUCUGUGAACUAGGAAGAAGCCCCUCAUCAGAUGGCAAAUCCUCUGGCAUCCUGAUCUUGGACUUCUCAGCCUCUAGAACUGUGAGAAAUAUAUUUGUUGUUUAUAGGUAACCCAAUUUACAGUAUGUUGUAAAAGAAGCUCUAACAGACAAAGUCACCCCGGAAGCAUAAUUUUGGUCUUGUCACCAAGCUUAGCAUUUGGGUGCUUGGGCAAAUCUAGUGGAGAGGCAGGCAGGCUACAGGAAGUGGAAACUAUGAGAGCCAGGAGGUGCCUAAGAUAUCAUCUGAUUGAUUGCUCUGCGAAGUGUGGUCCUUGCACUGCUGCUGGCCCAGACACUGUUACCUUUUUUUGGCCAGAUAAGUACAGAAAGUAUGGGUAAGCAUUUAGAAUUCUUAUAGAAAUUUGACAUUGCUGCACCUUCCAAACAUCAUUCUUCUGGUAAUUCAUUUUUUUAUUGUAUUUCACAAAAACACAGUCUACAAUAGAUUGGGGUGGGGGGAAGAAAGGAAAAAUGUGUUCCUUCAUUACACAUUUAGUUUGAGAAGCAGUGGUCUAGUCAUAUUCUAUUUACAGGUGAGACAACCAAGGCUUGGAGAAGUAUUCUGAGAGCUGUUUCAAGGUCUCAUAAUUAUACAGUGGGAGAAGAGGAUCUAGAACUGGGUCUUCUGCUUCUAGCUCUGGUGCCUAGCAAUCUUUAAGGGAUGCCAUUCCUACUGAGCCAUCACAUUCUAGGCAGCCAUAAGGGCAGCCUAGGAUCCAUCUCUCCUUUAUCUGCAAGUUGCCCCUGGGUACCAAAAUAGGAGCCAGAGCUCUGGCUAAAGACUGCCCAUAUCAGUCUUUGUUGGAUUCAAGCUCUGGGGUUAGGGAGAGAGGACAUCUCUCUGGGAACAUUGCUGCUGACAUCUCAUUGUUCCCUGCCUUUACUGCUCACUUGCUAGUUAUUACUUGGAAAAGAUUGAUCACUGGUGAGAAGAAAUAGGAAUUCAGGUUAUUAGGAACGUUUCCCAAGGAUAUAGCACCUUUUUAAUCCCACAGAAGUUCAUAAAUUUUCCAGCUGUGCCAGAGGCACAUGGUUGCAGAGCGUGAAAGCCAACUGGCACUCUAAAUGGAACAAGUGGAAAAUUCUGCCUGUGAAAGCCAAAAGGAAUUCUUCACCUUAAUUAAGAAAAAGCUCUGCAAUAUUGAAAGUCUAGGUAGAAAAGACAAGACUUGGCAUCUGACUUCUUUAAAAUGAACUCUGCUUAAUUAGGACUUAGUUAACAUAAAUUGGAAAAGAUCAAGACCAAAGCCCAUUGAAUUGGGUCCAGUUUAGGAAUUAAAACUGUACAGUUCAACUCCUGCCCUUGACAGCAGUUCUGCCUUCUUAGUUUUAUAGGUAACAAACUUGAUCCCCUUCCUAAGGGAAUGUGCGUAAGCUAUCUGCUUCUCUAGGGGAAAUGAACUCUAGUGAUUUUGAGAGAUUACAUUUAAAGGGCAAUUUUCAUUUACAGUUAUCUGAUUCAAUACGUGUGGAGCUUUGCAUCAACCAAGAACUUGUUUAGGGCCACUCUUGGUGUCCGGCUGCUUGCAAAAGUCAAAUCAGUAAGCUAUGUAGGACAAAAUGUUACUCAGGUUGAAUCACUUCAUAUUAAUGAAAUGUAAAUAAAACCAGAGAAAGGGAAAUUUUAGAAAUCCAAAUAAACACCCUUAAUGUGAUUUGUCUUCCCAAACAGUUCCCUGGAUUCUCUUUUCUGUGUGGUCAUGUCUCAAAUGCCUUUUAGUGAUAACCCUGAAUACUCCACAUUUCAACAAGAUACAAACAUUUCUCUCUUGUGUUCUUAUUUGCUGUUUCUGUUAGAAACAUGAAAACCACAUCAACUAGAUGGAAAUCCUAGAGGAAUUUAAGAAGAAAAGAUCAAUUGUUUGACAAUAAACGUGGUAAAUCCCAUGUGAUCAAAUAAAUGCUUAUACAUGAAAGCAAGAAUAUUGUACUUUGAACUCUUAACUAUAAAGUUGGGCUAAAAAUGAUUGGGCAGACCUGUUGGUAGGGGAAGCUGUAUUUCAACACAAAAUCUAAAAAGUCUUAGAUGAUGAGGCAAAGAUCAGUGGACAUGUGAGAGCUGACAUUUUCUACUACUGAGGUUGUUUUGUUCUUGGUUUAAGAAAAUGGAUCUGGGAUAAUCUAGUUUUUAUGAACUCCUGCAAACGAAGCGGCUUUAGUUACGUUGCAGUUGUUGAAAAGGACUGACCCUUCCCUGUAGCUUUGAUGUGCAGUGUGAAUUUGGCAAAGGGAACUUAAGUUUGCCUUUCAGUGCUGAAUGGCACCAUUACCGAGGCUCAUGUAUCUGUCAGAAAAAUCACUUCUCUCCUGGUAAAGCCCCUUCUGUCUCAGGAUCAUGUGAGAUUCACCACACAACACUCACUAAACAUGGUAUCAUUUUUACGUAAUGAGGGAGUGAGAACUGGAACCUGAUUUCAUAUUUUUUCCCACAGAUUUUACUUUCUACUCUUGUCAGUCAUAUCUGCAAGGCUGACAGUUACCAGGGGCUGUGGCCAGGCAUGAGGGAGAAUGUGUCAUUGCUGGCUGCGUUGGUCAUAGCAACGUGUCUGCCUCAGAACAGAUCCAGCAUGGAUGAGCAAACAGAAAAAUGUGUAAGAAGGCUUGUGACUGAAACAGACCAAGGGUGAGAGAACCUUUGUGGGAGCGCAGAAGUCCAGCAGAGAGACCCUAGCACUUUAUUUGGACCAAAAAAUAAAUAAUAAAUAAAUAAAUAAAUAAAUCCAAAACUAGAUGCAUUAAAGAAGGUAAGAACAGUUUUACUUUACCUGUGUCACCCCUCCCCCAGUGUGGCACAGAUCAGUGCCAAGAGAGACCGCUUCAGCCCAGUUUCUUCCACAGGGGAAAAUGAGAACAGUGAGUGCCUAAUUUCCUCAGCUGUAGGAUGCUGUAGAAGAGACCCACUUCUGCCUCACCCAUUUGAGAACCCUGAGGGAAUCAGUAUGGCUGAAUAAUCUGGGGGUAGCUAGGAGCAGGGAAAAGGGGCAGCACUCACAGCAACCUGAGUAUGGAAUUCAGCAAAGAGCCACAGUUUCUAUUAACUACCUCCCAAAUUCCAUCAAGAGGGCCAGCCACAAACUACAUAGGAUGCAUAAUCUGCAGAUCCCCUGACUAGCCCAUGUGUGCUUCCAACCUUCUGCAUGCCCUUCCCCCAUGUAGCUGGCACCCUGAAUGCACCCCCAUGGAUAGCAUGUACAAGCUUCUGCAGAUUGUGCAUGAGAACAUGAAGAUAACUAACUUGAUUCAGGAUUGGAAGGAAGUGACUAAUCUUGAAUUUUUCAAGGCACUUCCUAGGGAAGAUAAACAGGAGGCUUACAUUGCACCUGGCCUGACUUUUGCAAGAUCAAGAGAAGGAAUAUGCUGUAAUUUGAAUGAAAAUUUAACAUUUAAAAUUUAUGUUGAAGCUGAAUACUCAAUGCAAUAGUACUAAGAAGUCUAACCUUUGGGAGGUGAUUAAGUCAUGAUGACUCUUCUCACUUGAAUGGGAUGAGCACUCAUAAAAGAUGUCAAGGUUUAUGGGAGUUCUCUUUUGCCCUUCCAUCCCUUCUGCCAGGUUAGACUUCUCCUAUGGAGAAUGCAGCAAGAAAAUACCAUCUUGAAGCAGAGAGCAGCGCUCAUCAGGCAUCAGUCCUUCUGGAGCCUUGAUCUUGGACCUCCCAGCUCCAAAAUAAUAAGUAAUAAAUUGUUAUUGCUUAUAAAUUA
rnacentral:lncRNA from 1 species